CUCCCUCUACAAGUCCGGUAGACUGCGACCUGGAAGAGGCAGACAAUCCUAACACCGGCCUUGAGCAAGCUUUGCAGUCCUUCGUAAGGUAAGUAGGUCGAUCAAGUUGAGGUUUAUUGUUGAUCAAUUGACUGAGCCGCGUUCAGCUGGAAUAGCUGCGUGCAGGAUGGUAACGUGUCGCGUGCAAUUGUGUUAAUUUACUAUCACGCCAAUAAAUGUUGUUCUUUUUUAAUCUCGAGUAAAAGCGCGUUUUUAAAUUGAUUACGUGUUGGAUUUGGAGUCCUCCAGGUUUGUGGUUGAUAUAGGCAGGUCUAAACGUCACCGCAUUGCGACUUAUUGACUUGUGCAUAAUUUUAAUGAUUGUUAGGUGUAAACUAGAUUAGCUGAUGGAAGUGUUUAAUUUUAGUUUGUUUUUGUCGAGGAAUUGUCGAUUUACCGAAGCCAUGUGGGUUUCUGCUCAGGGCAGAUGUGACGCAGGAAUGCGGGAAGUCGUUCCACUGUUUUUUCCGUUCUGCACGUGGCUUUUUAAAAAUAUUUCAUUCAUUCGCAAACUUCGCACGAUUUAGGAAUUUCUGUGCAAAUAUAUAGCCGUCUAGCGUUGAUAGAAAUGAGAUAACUUGGCACAAAUUGUUGGCGAUCAAACGGAAUCUGUAUGUGUUUACAACGUUGUAGUUAUCAGCAAAGUAUAAAGUGCACAGCUCCAUCGUUUGACAUAAGCACGAGUUUCUGUUUUGUAAAUAUAGAAAACGUUUAUUUCACGAGGAAAAAUACGUAGUUUCCCUAACCUCUAAAAUGUUGAGGUAGUAAAUUCGUUAAUACGUGUAGCCUUGAACUCUUUUGAAGUUUUUAUUUGUUUCUUUUAGGGUUAAAUUGCUGUUUCGUCAAAUGAAUGGGAUGCAAAUUAUUUUCCGGCAUCAGUUUUGUGACUGCAUGAUUUUAGAUUGUUUUCAUUUGUUCAGCGAGGCGUGAGAGGUGACUGGUGGUCAAGCGAAACGUUUUAUUUAUCAUUUGCGGGUAGCAUUUGUCUAGAACGUUUGAUCAGCGACCUUAUACGCUAUCUAGCGAGAUCAUAUCGUCACUCGUCAAUACUUUACGUCCUUUAAGGUGUCAUGAAUUUCCUUUAGAUUAGUUUGUAAGACGAAAAUUCACACUGCGUUACUGCCUUCAUGCAAGGUCCACACCGGGUCGAGUUUGGGCGACCCCAGCAGAGCGCAAUUCCAUUGGAUAGCAGGAGUAAUUUCAGUGUACCAAACGAUAUAACUCCAUGAUUCCAUUCCAUGGCAAUAUUUGACAAAAGGAGACCUUUGCAGUAACUUCUCACUUUAACCCUGUGAAAAUUUCGUGAUGGGCGAGCAAAGAAAUUCAAGAGAGGAUUCAAAAGAUAUUGGAAGAGGUACAACAGUUGUCUGACACAGAGAAAUUGUUGCUUUACCUG